GUUUUAUUCUGUUCGUCUUCUUUGCAGUUUUCUCGCGCUCGCUCUCGCUCUCGCUCUCGCUCUCGCUGCUGAUUCAUCCAUUCGAUCACUUGAGUUUUCCACCAUCGGUUUAGGCGGAGUUUGUUCGGGGAAUUCCAUGGAUCUCAAUUUCCAGUGUGUAUCGAGCAAAAUGAUUGGGUUUGUUUAGGAACACAUAGUAUGGGAGCUAUUCGCAAGCUCAGUUCCCACCUUGUCUUACAAGGCAUACAAAUCCUAUCUUGGGAAUGAAUGGAAGAAACCGUUUGCUGGAUCAUCCAAUGCCAUGGGGUUUGAACCUGAGAAGAUAGGUAUUUAAGCUAAACUGCUGAACUCCGCCAUCCAUAAAAUGGCCUGGCGUUCAGCUCUGCAAGAAUGGCAAGAAUAUUGCUGCUUUUGUCCCUGGUGAUGGGCGAUGGCUGUGUAAGCUUUUCGGAAGAAAAUGAAGAAGGAAGAGUCGGGGAACUGGCAGAAAGCGUAUACGGCAUGGAAUAGUCAGGCCUUCAGAAUUUGGCCCUACUUUAGAACGGGCCGAUGGAGUUUAAGAAAUAAAUCAGAAUGAGACAAUUUGAAUUGGGCCGACAUUACGCAUUCACAGCACGUGAGCUACUCAGCUCUCAGCCGACAGCGCGUCUGUCAAAUGGGCCUAUUGCUAAUGGGCCGUCAUCAGCUUAAACUUUUUUGACCUACAUCAAUUGAGCUUUGGGCACAUGUGUUUGUCGGUGCUUCAGUUGAACAUAGAAAAUGUUGGGCUUCUUUGAUUGGGCCGGCUAUAAAUGGGCUUGUCCGCAA